rnacentral:rRNA from 1 species
UACGUAGGGUGCGAGCGUUAAUCGGAAUUACUGGGCGUAAAGCGUGCGCAGGUGGUUUUGUAAGUCAGAUGUGAAAUCCCCGGGCUCAACCUGGGAACUGCAUUUGAGACUGCAAGGCUAGAGUGUAGCAGAGGGGGGUAGAAUUCCACGUGUAGCAGUGAAAUGCGUAGAGAUGUGGAGGAAUACCGAUGGCGAAGGCAGCCCCCUGGGCUACUACUGACACUCAUGCACGAAAGCGUGGGGAGCAAACAGG